rnacentral:sRNA from 1 species
ACUUAGCCCCGAUAGCAGCGGUUACCCCGGAACAUGGGUGGAAGAGCCGGAGGGUAAGAGGGUGGGGUAAUUUGGCGUGAGGAGUAUGAGCGGAUAGCGGGAAAAAGC